UAGGGAAUCUUGCGCAAUGGGCGAAAGCCUGACGCAGCCAUGCCGCGUGAAUGAUGAAGGUCUUAGGAUUGUAAAAUUCUUUCACCGGGGAAGAUAAUGACGGUACCCGGAGAAGAAGCCCCCGGCUAACUUCGUGCCAGCAGCCGCGGUAAUACGAAGGGGGGCUAGCGUUGCUCGGAAUUACUGGGCGUAAAGGGCGCGUAGGCGGAUAUUUAAGUUGGGGGUGAAAGCCCGGGGCUCAACCUCGGAAUAGCCUUCAAUACUGGAUAUCUUGAGUUCGGGAGAGGUGAGUGGAAUGCCGAGUGUAGAGGUGAAAAUUCGUAGAUAUUCGGCGGAACACCAGUGGCGAAGGCGACUCACUGGCCCGAUACUGACGCUGAGGCGCGAAAGCGUGGGGAGCAAACAGGAUUAGAUACCCUGGUAGUCCACGCCGUAAACGAUGAGUGCUAGUUGUCGGCAUGCAUGCAUGUCGGUGACGCAGCUAACGCAUUAAGCACUCCGCCUGGGGGAGUACGGUCGCAAGAUUAAAACUCAAAGGAAUUGACGGGGGUCAUAGCUG
rnacentral:rRNA from 1 species